AACGCGAAGAACCUUACCAGCCCUUGACAUCCCGGUCGCGGGAACCAGAGAUGGAUCCCUUCAGUUCGGCUGGACCGGAGACAGGUGCUGCAUGGCUGUCGUCAGCUCGUGUCGUGAGAUGUUGGGUUAAGUCCCGCAACGAGCGCAACCCUCGCCCUUAGUUGCCAUCAUUCAGUUGGGCACUCUAAGGGGACUGCCGGUGAUAAGCCGCGAGGAAGGUGGGGAUGACGUCAAGUCCUCAUGGCCCUUACGGGCUGGGCUACACACGUGCUACAAUGGCGGUGACAGUGGGACGCAAUGGAGCAAUCCUGCGCAAAUCUCAAAAAGCCGUCUCAGUUCGGAUUGUGCUCUGCAACUCGAGCACAUGAAGUUGGAAUCGCUAGUAAUCGCAGAUCAGCACGCUGCGGUGAAUACGUUCCCGGGCCUUGUACACACCGGCUAC
rnacentral:rRNA from 1 species